UGAACAGGCACAUCACUCUGGUUCAGUCAACCCAAAAUUUCUGGAACUCUGCAAAAGCGACCAACCCCCCCAUCUUCUGGAGUACUUUUGUUCCCUGUAAUGACUGCUGCUCAGCUGGUUUUUGAGAAUGGAUUGGUACAGAGGUGCCGGAAGCGAGCCCCCGCCCACCCCCACCCCAGAUUAGUGGAAGGGGGGAUAUGGGAUUUCACAUACCUCCUUUCCAUACACCAGAACAGGUCAGCAUCAAAAACUAAGAACAUAUGGUAAGUUCAGAAUAGGUUACAGAUUACUGCUGAACACUGAAAAAUACAGUGGAAUCUCCAAUGAAUUAAAGAGGCUUUGCUGUCAAAGAGUAACUCAUACUAACCACAGUUUAAUGUGUGACAGAAUCAUCUGGCGUUCCAAAGUCGAAAAGGUGCUUCUCUCAUCAAAGGUUUGUCUGAGGUUAGUGUGACUCUUAUUCUCACUGCAGACUGCCAGGCUUUGCAGCAGAAGACAGCAUUUGAGGCCGUAAGAAAAGGACAGAGACGUGAAACAUCUUGGCUUUUGACUCCUGGAGUUGUGCACAAGAACUUGGGAACAUACACAGCUUUCUGAUCUAUCAUAGAAAUUCAAAAGUCCUUUUAAGAGAAGUUUCGCAGCUCUAGUACACAGAUAUGCUAGGGAAAGGUUAUGGUGUGGGGGAGGGGAUGUCACACAACCUGGCACUCAGAGUUCCUCCAUACAGCUUCAAGUACUGAGGUUUACUGGAGGGAGUAAAAUUCUGUGGACCUGGUGUAACGACUCAUAAUUGAUAAAGUGGUAAAGGCAGUGGAGCACGUGACCUUCAGACUCAUAAUGGAACAAGAAACAACCAUGAUUGGGCAGAAAACCAACUUGCUGUUACCUUGAAAUUAGCCCUACAUGUGUGUAGCAAUUCAAGUGAAGUGUUGUCUUCUGAAGAAGCCCACGAUAUGCACAAACCUGACCAAAAAAAGACCCUAACAUCGGUUUUGCCAACCUAAGCACAAGAAUCAAACAAGACACAACCGUUUAUGCGGCUCAUUAGUGUCACAAGACAACUUGUGAUUGACGAUGCAACUUUUACUUGCUAUACACUAUUCUAUAUACUACAUACAAGGAGGGUGGUGACUGUAGUAUCAAUUUGGAAUUCUUUACAACACUGUAGCAUUCAAACAAAUGUAACCAAAUAACUUAUACUGACAGAGAUAUGAUUAUACAUAAAGCCCAAAGUCAACAUCAUUUUUCAAUAAUCGUAAGUGUUACGACUUAUGUUUAGCCAACUUUGUGAGAUAGGAAUGUGCUUGGGUUAGCCCUUCUGUUAAACUCGUACAUAAAAUUAGAAUCAAGAUUUACUCCUUUCCCGGGUCUAGAAAUCCCAUUAGUCAUGAAUCCAUUGCUGUUGACAUUUUUGUACACACUGUGGUGUUAAAACACUGUGAAAUGGAAGGAAUGUUUAAAGGAAGCAUUAGAAAUAACUCAUAUGAAUGUGUUCAUCCUUGUGAUUACCCAGCAGAAGGAAUAGUUUUACGGCACAGUUAUAGCACAGAAGCAGUUUUAUAUCAUGACUGACAAUUACCCGAAUGGCACAUAAACAGCCCCCUUUCUAUAUAUCAGCGCAUAUACAGCAUGUCGACGUAACCCUGCAUCCUACCUAACCUUCCCCACCACGCUUUCGAUAUUUGGCAAGAGUUUUGCAAAAGCCGCAGACGGCGCACAAAAAGUUUAGUAACUCACAAAUGCAUAAAAUAUAUUUAGAGUGCUGGUCAGGAGAACACCAGACGUGUUUACAGCAGCCUCUGGCAUGAUAUCUUGCAGUGAUUUUUGUAUUUUGCACUAAAUUACACUUACAUCAGAAAUGCUUUGUUUCGUUCACCAAAAAAAUGUACACGGUUUUUCCAUAUCGCUGGGGGCCAUGCCCCUGACCCCCAUGAUGCGGAAGGGACGACUGUACUUUUUGAGGGUGACACGGGUGGAUUCAACUCCUGCAACCAACUCUGUGUACACAGGUUUUGCACAUUCUUCCUCCUUACCUGUGUACUCGUGUGUUUUUACCGGGAUACCUCGCCAGGGUUCCCAUAUCUCACUGCACUGCUGUGACACGCACACUUCCAGACUCUCACGCUCACGCAGGAAGUUUUACAGCCAAUUUAUAUUAUUCCAAUUUAAGCCUAAAAUUAGCUACAUUAAAAACACUGGGGUAGUUUGCAAAUCCUACAGACAAAUUUGUAAGGUAAUAAAACUGUUACAUACAUGUAAAUGCAUGUGCGUGUGUGUGCAGGCAUGAAAAUUUAAAAUCUCACUCUAAAACUAACCAAAAUUGGCAACCUUGUCUCUCAUAGGCAAGUUUCUAAAUUGCCCACGAUAAGUACCUUGCUAUAGUCAAGGAGCUCUCCAGUCUGGCACUUACCGGCAUGCCUCAUGCUGGAUUUUUUAAAACUUUUUCUGGAACUCUGCAUUCGUUAGUCUUAUAAUUAACCUGUUCAUAUACCAAAAUCCUGUAAUAGUUCAAAUUCCAAUUUAUAUCAACCAUAUCCAUAUGCACCUUUUCAUUGGCGGGAAUUAUCAGGAUUUAAUAAAUAAACAAACAAACAAACAAACAAAGAUCAGUACCUCCUUCAGCUCUUUCUCGAUCUGCACCGCCCGUUGCACAAUGGGACCCCUCACGGCGUAUUCAACCCUCUUAAUUCGUGGGUUCAUCGUGUCUACGGUGAGCACCUUCCCCCGGCGGGACGCCACGCCGUUCUCGGACAUCUUAUAGCUGAUUGACCGGCGUGUCGCGGACAGCCACCAAGGAGCCCUGCCAAACGAAAGUGACAGCGGAGCUGGGACCGGCAUCGCGGGUGUGCGAAGUGGCCGCUGCCGCGCAGCAGAGUGCAGGAUCCCACACAGCCCCCGCAGAGUAACAGACCACGCUUCUCUAAAAGAAAACAUUAGUGCUGCCAAGUAACUUUAAGUAUUAACUUGGCUCCUGCGUGUUUAGCAUUAAAAUACCGCCAGCUGUGCAUGAGAUGCAAGUGUCCAGCACGGUGCUUCAGUAAGCACACCUUCAUGAACUGUCUUUCGUUGUGUAACUAUCUUUAUCCGAAAAACCUAAACAGACCUUUGUACCUUACCAUGCAGAUUUCACAAGAUGCCCGCCAACAGUUAUUUUCAUUUACUUGAUAGUCAUUAUCUGUUUUUAUUAUGCAAUAUUACUUUCCGCUACAAUGCAUUUUUUACACUCACGCUUUUCCGCUCUGCCUGUACAGCUGAAGCGAACUACAUACCCAGAAAUAGUCAAGAUUGAUCUUCAGACUUAGCAGAAGACAGAUGCGGACAGUAGGAAGAGUACAAAUGCACCUCUGCUCG